ensembl:snRNA U1 U1 spliceosomal RNA
AAGCAGAUUGGGUGGGAGUGGAGUUGAAAAGCAAACAUAAGUUAAGAGACUUCUACCUGCUAUCCUUUGCACCGCAGGUGUGCUGACCCCUGCGAUUUCCCCAAAUGCAGGAAAGUCGACUGCAUAAUUUGUAGUAGUGGGGGACUGCGUUCGCGCUCUCCCCUG